rnacentral:rRNA from 1 species
CUUCGGACCUUGUGCUAUUAGAUAGGCCUAUAUUGGAUUAGCUAGUUGGUAAGGUAAGAGCUUACCAAGGCGGCGAUCCAUAGCUGGUUUGAGAGAAUGAUCAGCCACACUGGGACUGAGACACGGCCCAG